rnacentral:rRNA from 1 species
CCUACGGGAGGCAGCAGUGGGGAAUAUUGGGCAAUGGAGGAAACUCUGACCCAGCGACGCCGCGUGCGGGAUGAAGGCCUUCGGGUUGUAAACCGCUUUCGGUAGGGAAGAAGCGAAAGUGACGGUACCUACAAAAGAAGCACCGGCUAACUAUGUGCCAGCAGCCGCGGUAAUACAUAGGGUGCAAGCGUUGUCUGGAAUUAUUGGGCGUAAAGAGCUCGUAGGUCGUUUGUUACGUCGGAUGUGAAAACCUGAGGCUCAACCUCAGGCCUGCAUUCGAUACGGGCAAACUAGAGUUUGGUAGGGGAGACUGGAAUUCCUGGUGUAGCGGUGGAAUGCGCAGAUAUCAGGAGGAACACCAAUGGCGAAGGCAGGUCUCUGGGCCAAUACUGACACUGAGGAGCGAAAGUCUGGGGAGCGAACAGGAUUAGAUACCCUGGUAGUCCAGACUGUAAACGGUGGGCACUAGUUGUGGGAACCUUCCACGGUUUCUGCGACGCAGCUAACGCAUUAAGUGCCCCGCCUGGGGAGUACGAUCGCAAGAUUAAAACUCAAAGGAAUUGACGG